rnacentral:rRNA from 1 species
UACGUAGGGUGCAAGCGUUGUCCGGAAUUAUUGGGCGUAAAGAGCUCGUAGGCGGUCUGUCGCGUCGGCUGUGAAAACCCGGGGCUCAACCCCGGGCCUGCAGUCGAUACGGGCAGACUAGAGUGCGGUAGGGGAGACUGGAAUUCCUGGUGUAGCGGUGAAAUGCGCAGAUAUCAGGAGGAACACCAGUGGCGAAGGCGGCUUCCUGGUCUGCGACUGACGCUGUGGCGCGAAAGCUAGGGGAGCAAACGGG